GUUAUGACUGGUUUCAUAAAGGGGCUAUGACUGGUUUUAUAAAGGGGUUAUGACUGGUUUCAUAAAGGGGCUAUGACUGGUUUUAUAAAGGGGCUAUUACUGGUUUUAUGAAGGGGCUAUGACUGGUUUUAUAAAGGGGCUAUAACUGGUUCUAUAAAGGUGCUAUUACUGGUUUUAUAAAGGGGCUAUGACUGAUUUUAAAAAGGGCUGUUACUGGUUUUAUAAAGGGGCUAUGACUGGUUUUAUAAAGGGGCUGUUACUGGUUUUAUAAAGAGGCUAUGACUGGUUUUAUAAAUUGGCUAUGACUGGUUUUAUAAAGGGGCUUUGACUGGUUCUAUAUAGUGGCUAUUACUGGUUUUAUAAAGGGGCUAUUACUGGUUUCAUAAAGGGGCUAUAACUGCUUUUAUAAAGGAGCUAUGACUGGUUUUAUAAAGGGGCUAUGACUGGUUUUAUAAAGGGGUUCUAUAAAGGGGCUAUGACUGGUUUUAUAAAGGGGCUAUGACUGGUUUUAUAACAAUGAUAUGACUGGUUUUAUAAAGGGGCUAUUACUGGUUUCAUAAAGGUCUUAUGACUGGUUCUAUAAAGGUCUUAUGACUGGUUUCAUAAAGGGGCUAUGACUGGUUUCAUAAAGGGGCUAUGACUGGUUUUAUAAAUGGGCUAUUACUGGUUUCAUAAAGGGGCUAUGACUGGUUUUAUAAAGGGGCUAUUACUGGUUUUAUAAAGGGGCUAUGACUGGUUUUAUAAAGGGGCUAUGACUGGUUAUAUAAAGGGGCUAUAACUGGUUCUAUAAAGGUGCUAUUACUGGUUUUAUAAAGGGGCUAUGACUGAUUUUAAAAAGGGCUGUUACUGGUUUUAUAAAGGGGCUAUGACUGGUUUUAUAAAGGGGCUGUUACUGGUUUUAUAAAGAGGCUAUGACUGGUUUUAUAAAUUGGCUAUGACUGGUUUUAUAAAGGGGCUUUGACUGGUUCUAUAUAGUGGCUAUUACUGGUUUUAUAAAGGGGCUAUUACUGGUUUCAUAAAGGGGCUAUAACUGCUUUUAUAAAGGAGCUAUGACUGGUUUUAUAAAGGGGCUAUGACUGGUUUUAUAAAGGGGCUAUGACUGGUUUUAUAAAUUGGCUAUGACUGGUUUUAUAAAGGGGCUUUGACUGGUUCUAUAUAGUGGCUAUUACUGGUUUUAUAAAGGGGCUAUUACUGGUUUCAUAAAGGGGCUAUAACUGCUUUUAUAAAGGAGCUAUGACUGGUUUUAUAAAGGGGCUAUGACUGGUUUUAUAAAGGGGUUCUAUAAAGGGGCUAUGACUGGUUUUAUAAAGGGGCUAUGACUGGUUUUAUAACAAUGAUAUGACUGGUUUUAUAAAGGGGCUAUUACUGGUUUCAUAAAGGUCUUAUGACUGGUUCUAUAAAGGUCUUAUGACUGGUUUUAUAAAGGGGCUAUUACCGGUUUUAU